ACCCUUUAAUGUUUGAUGUUCUAACGUGGACCCGUAAUCCGGGUUGCGGACAGUGUCUGGUGGGUAGUUUGACUGGGGCGGUCUCCUCCUAAAGAGUAACGGAGGAGCACGAAGGUUGGCUAAUCCUGGUCGGACAUCAGGAGGUUAGUGCAAUGGCAUAAGCCAGCUUGACUGCGAGCGUGACGGCGCGAGCAGGUGCGAAAGCAGGUCAUAGUGAUCCGGUGGUUCUGAAUGGAAGGGCCAUCGCUCAACGGAUAAAAGGUACUCCGGGGAUAACAGGCUGAUACCGCCCAAGAGUUCAUAUCGACGGCGGUGUUUGGCACCUCGAUGUCGGCUCAUCACAUCCUGGGGCUGAAGUAGGUCCCAAGGGUAUGGCUGUUCGCCAUUUAAAGUGGUACGCGAGCUGGGUUUAGAACGUCGUGA
rnacentral:rRNA from 1 species